rnacentral:rRNA from 1 species
ACGGGUGAGUAACACGUGGGUGAUCUGCCCUGCACUCUGGGAUAAGCUUGGGAAACUGGGUCUAAUACCGGAUAUGACCACAGCAUGCAUGUGUUGUGGUGGAAAGAUUUAUCGGUGCAGGAUGGGCCCGCGGCCUAUCAGCUUGUUGGUGGGGUAAUGGCCUACCAAGGCGACGACGGGUAGCCGACCUGAGAGGGUGACCGGCCACACUGGGACUGAGACACGGCCCAGACUCCUACGGGAGGCAGCAGUGGGGAAUAUUGCACAAUGGGCGGAAGCCUGAUGCAGCGACGCCGCGUGAGGGAUGAAGGCCUUCGGGUUGUAAACCUCUUUCAGCAGGGACGAAGCGUGAGUGACGGUACCUGCAGAAGAAGCACCGGCUAACUACGUGCCAGCAGCCGCGGUAAUACGUAGGGUGCGAGCGUUGUCCGGAAUUACUGGGCGUAAAGAGUUCGUAGGCGGUUUGUCGCGUCGUUUGUGAAAACCCGGGGCUCAACUUCGGGCUUGCAGGCGAUACGGGCAGACUUGAGUGUUUCAGGGGAGACUGGAAUUCCUGGUGUAGCGGUGAAAUGCGCAGA